CUGGCACAUGGAUCAUUAACUGACAACUUGCCACUGAGAGACCGCAACCCACUCAGUACGAUCCAGACAGGACUAGACCUGAGCUGACAUGUGCACACCCAGACGGACACACCAUACCUCUGAGGAGGCAACAGCAGGCACUCAUACGCCUGCUAAGACUUAGCCCAAAACCCUGGCCAUCAGGAUGUGCAGACUGGACACUGAGAUUUUUCGAAUGGCCAAUCACAACCUAGGACCGCUUAAAAAUGAAACGGGUUAGGUGCACUACCCUUGCCCAAAAGCACUAUCCCCCGAGUAAGCAACCGUCCAUGUAUAUAAAUAUCACAUACUGUUCCAUAUCCAACGCAUGCUAUGACCUUACACAUAAAACGAGACAGAAGUGAAGUAGCGGGUGGACGGGACCUAAUUGAACUGCCAUAGGCCAUAGGCCUGGGGAGUAACGCAACAUCCUAAUCCCACCUUGGAAUAUCAGUUACGUUGGCGCAACCGGGGAUACUGGGUACUCAUGUGGAUCAGAAAUGCAAC